rnacentral:rRNA from 1 species
GAUGAACGCUGGCGGCGUGCCUAAUACAUGCAAGUCGAGCGAACAGACGAGGAGCUUGCUCCUUUGACGUUAGCGGCGGACGGGUGAGUAACACGUGGGUAACCUACCUAUAAGACUGGGAUAACUUCGGGAAACCGGAGCUAACACCGGAUAAUAUUUCGAACCGCAUGGUUCGAUAGUGAAAGAUGGCUUUGCUAUCACUUAUAGAUGGACCUGCGCCGUAUUAGCUAGUUGGUAAGGUAACGGCUUACCAAGGCAACGAUACGUAGCCGACAUGAGAGGGUGAUCGGCCACACUGGAAGUGAGACCCGGUCCAGACUCCUACGGGAGGCAGCAGUAGGGAAUCUUCCGCAAUGGGCGAAAGCCUGACGGAGCAACGCCGCGUGAGUGAUGAAGGUCUUCGGAUCGUAAAACUCUGUUAUUAGGGAAGAACAAACGUGUAAGUAACUGUGCACGUCUUGACGGUACCUAAUCAGAAAGCCACGGCUAACUACGUG